rnacentral:rRNA from 1 species
GACGAACGCUGGCGGCGUGCUUAACACAUGCAAGUCGAACGAGAAUCUACUGAAAGAGUUUUCGGACAAUGGAUGUAGAGGAAAGUGGCGGACGGGUGAGUAACGCGUGAGGAACCUGCCUUGAAGAGGGGGACAACAGUUGGAAACGACUGCUAAUACCGCAUGACGCAUGACCGGGGCAUCCCGGACAUGCCAAAGAUUUAUCGCUGAAAGAUGGCCUCGCGUCCGAUUAGAUAGUUGGCGGGGUAACGGCCCACCAAGUCGACGAUCGGUAGCCGGACUGAGAGGUUGGCCGGCCACAUUGGGACUGAGAUACGGCCCAGACUCCUACGGGAGGCAGCAGUGGGGAAUAUUGGGCAAUGGACGCAAGUCUGACCCAGCAACGCCGCGUGAAGGAAGAAGGCUUUCGGGUUGUAAACUUCUUUGACAGGGGAAGAGCAGAAGACGGUACCCUGAAAACAAGCCACGGCUAACUACGUG